UUUGGAAUUCAGGCCACAGAUGAAACUUGUUAUUAUGAUUUCAAAACCACGUCUCCACAAACCAAAGGCUCCUCCUGUUUAGGAAUCUGUGUACAAUUACAGAGCUCUUCCCCUCUGACUGCAUCAACAGUCUGAAGAAGGUUUUUCUCUUCUCAGUAACAGAGUCACCGUUGGAUCAGUCGGGUCCUGUUCUGCUACUUUCUGCUUUGGGACUGAUUCAAGAGAAAAGAACAUUUUUAUUUUAUUGUUCCACCGUGAUGAGCAGCAGACACUGAGGAUCCUCAUGAAGUCGUGAUGCAGACAUUAACCAGGACCAGCUGGAAGACUGCCCACAAGGAAACCUACAGCCAAAGAACCAAAAAAACGUAACAAACCUUUUGCUAACAGAGUCACCGUUGGAUCAGUCGGGUCCUGUUCUGCUACUUUCUGCUUUGGGACUGAUUCAAGAGAAAAUAACAUUUUUAUUUUAUUGUUCCACCGUGAUGAGCAGCAGCCACUGAGGAUCCUCAUGAAGUCUUGAUGCAGACCAGAAAAACAUCACAGCUGAGUCUGGACAGAACGUCACUCUGACAUGUCGAGCUCCAAACAACAACAUCAACAUUGUAGAGUGGAGCAGAGCUGACCUGGGAGAUAAACAUGUGCUUUUGUACCGGGAUGGGCGAUUUGUUCCAGAAGGCCAGCAUCAAUCUUUUAAGAACCGGGUGGAUCUGCAGGACAGACAGAUGAAGGAUGGAGACGUGUCUUUGAUUCUGAAGAAUGUGACAACUGCUGAUAGUGGAACAUAUGAGUGUCAUGUCUUAAUGGGAGAAAUACACUUAUUGAAGCUCAUCAUCAUCAUCUACCUUCAUGUUGAUCCUCCAGGUCAGACAGGAGGACAAGAGAAGGAUGGAGGCAACAAAGAUGGAGGAAAGGAAGACAGAAGGAAGGAGGAUGGAUCUGUUGGACUGAAAGUUGGUCUGACAGUUUCUGCGGUGCUUCUUCUUAUUGUUGCUGGUGUUGUUGGUUUCUUUAAGUGCAGAAAAAAGAAACUGAAUCCUGCUGAUCCACAUGUAGCAGAGCAUCUUCAGCCUGAAUAGCAGAAAACCAUCACAGCUGAGUCUGGACAGGACGUCACUCUGACAUGUCGAGCUCCAAACAACAAGAUCAAAUCUGUAGAGUGGAGCAGAGAUGACUGGACAUCAGGCUAUGUCUACUUGUACCAGGAUGGUCACUUUGUUUGUUGUUUGAGCUGUAAAUAAUGAGUCAGAGAAAAUGAGCCAACAGCUUCAUCAGCCUGAGGUUGAUUCAACAUACACUCACUUAGUGGACUUUUGCGUAAUUACAUAACUGCUGUUUUAAUCAUGCUUGUUUUUGCUGUUUUUUGGUGAUUGUAGACAUGGUUUAUGUGGACAUUUAGCUUAGAGUCUAAGGUUUCUGUGGAGACCACACAUGGUGGUAUUUGCAUGAACAGAGUCGUGGAUAGUUACAUACCUCCUGAGUCCCGUCACUGGAACUGUAAAUCUGAGUUUCUAUGAAGUGCUGCAGAUUUAUUUUUUAACUGAAUGAUGCACUCAGAGUUUGUUUGUUUGUUCAUUAAUAACAUAAUUGUCACAAAUGUUGAUUGUUUUCCUUUAUUCAGGUAUUUUUAACAUUAUUAUUUGUGUUUAAAAAGUGUUGCUGCUUGUUUUGUAUGUUUGGUCUUGUAUGUGUGUUUGUGUUUCCUGCUGCUCACACACAGGAUUAGAAAAGCCUGAAAACUCAGUGAUCACAGAGUCUGUGAGCUCCAAAUGUUUGCAUGUAGCACAGAGAACAAAGGUCAGUGUGUGAGUGUCUCCGUGUUUGAAAUAAUAAACUACUGGAUUAGUCUGAUCCUGUUAUCAUCCUCUGUUAUUGCAUCAAUGAGUCUCAGUCACUCAUUGUAAAUGACCUCAUUAAUAUGUUCCUUCUUAAACUGGUUCAUACGUGCAUAUUAUUCUGUUGUAGCUUGGACACAGUAAAUGUUUUUAUUUGGAAAGGUGUAGAACGACCAGGCGUCAAACAUCAGUCGAUGUAAACUAUACAGCAGCACGAGCUCCAACGUACAGAGAGGUUUGCUCAAUGGUUAAGAAAUGUGAAAAGCGGCUGUUAAGGUGGAAUUCUAAGUUGCAAAUAGUUCCCUGGCACCUGGUUGAUGAGGGAACAAGGUUGGUAUCAAAGUUUGUUGUGUAAAUGUGGACUUUGUUAUUUCACGGAGCAUAAAGCUGCUGACGGCUACUGAGUGUAACAGUUACGUUUUCACCCACUAGAGGGCGCUCACACCUCGGUAUAUUUGUCAUGUUUACUCAGUGAUGCAAAGGUUUACAAGAUUCACUGUUAUAUGCUAUUUAAGGUCAAAGACAAUCGUAAUAAGAUGUAUUUUAUCUCAGGGUAUAGAAAAGGUAAGAGGCUAAAUGUUAGAAGGGUUGAAUAAAUAUACACGGCAAAAGCGCUCGAUGUAGAGAUUCAAGGGCCUAAAAGGUGUCAUCAUUUAAAGUAAUUCAUUUAUGAUUAAUAAAUAAGGAAAAAGGUGAAAGGUUUGAGUUACCAAUGGUAAUUUUAUUCUGUACAUUUUGUAGCUUUUACUGUGUGAUCACAUUCAAAGCUGUUCAAUAAAAGGAUUGUGAACCAUCA